AUUGAACGCUGGCGGCAGGCCUAACACAUGCAAGUCGAGCGGAUGAAGGGAGCUUGCGCCUGGAUUCAGCGGCGGACGGGUGAGUAAUGCCUAGGAAUCUGCCUGGUAGUGGGGGACAACGUCCGGAAACGGGCGCUAAUACCGCAUACGUCCUUAGGGAGAAAGUGGGGGAUCUUCGGACCUCACGCUAUCAGAUGAGCCUAGGACGGAUUAGCUAGUUGGUGGGGUAAAGGCCUACCAAGGCGACGAUCCGUAACUGGUCUGAGAGGAUGAUCAGUCACACUGGAACUGAGACACGGUCCAGACUCCUACGGGAGGCAGCAGUGGGGAAUAUUGGACAAUGGGCGAAAGCCUGAUGCAGCCAUGCCGCGUGUGUGAAGAAGGUCUUCGGAUCGUAAAGCACUUUUAGUUGGGAGGAAGGGAAGUAAGUUAAUACCUUGAUGUCUUGACGUUACCAACAGAAUAAGCAACGGCUAACUUCGUG
rnacentral:rRNA from 1 species